CCCGAGACUCAGUGAAAUUGAACUCGCUGUGAAGAUGCAGUGUACCCGCGGCAAGACGGAAAGACCCCGUGAACCUUUACUAUAGCUUGACACUGAACAUUGAGCCUUGAUGUGUAGGAUAGGUGGGAGGCUUUGAAGUGUGGACGCCAGUCUGCAUGGAGCCGGCCUUGAAAUACCACCCUUUAAUGUUUGAUGUUCUAACGUGGACCCGUGAUCCGGGUUGCGGACAGUGUCUGGUGGGUAGUUUGACUGGGGCGGUCUCCUCCUAAAGAGUAACGGAGGAGCACGAAGGUUGGCUAAUCCUGGUCGGACAUCAGGAGGUUAGUGCAAUGGCAUAAGCCAGCUUGACUGCGAGCGUGACGGCGCGAGCAGGUGCGAAAGCAGGUCAUAGUGAUCCGGUGGUUCUGAAUGGAAGGGCCAUCGCUCAACGGAUAAAAGGUACUCCGGGGAUAACAGGCUGAUACCGCCCAAGAGUUCAUAUCGACGGCGGUGUUUGGCACCUCGAUGUCGGCUCAUCACAUCCUGGGGCUGAAGUAGGUCCCAAGGGUAUGGCUGUUCGCCAUUUAAAGUGGUACGCGAGCUGGGUUUAGAACGUCGUGAGACAGUUCGGUCCCUAUCUGCCGUGGGCGCUGGAGAACUGAGGGGGGCUGCUCCUAGUACGAGAGGACCGGAGUGGACGCAUCACUGGUGUUCGGGUUGUCAUGCCAAUGGCACUGCCCGGUAGCUAAAUGCGGAAGAGAUAAGUGCUGAAAGCAUCUAAGCACGAAACUUGCCCCGA
rnacentral:rRNA from 1 species